UCUGGCAGUGAUGAACCGCUUGCCCUCACUGAGAACAAAGUUCGGUAAUGAGAACAAAGUUCGGUAAUGAGAAAUCUUUGUUAUGGACUCAAGUUCUGAGCCAGA